UACGUAGGGCGCAAGCGUUAUCCGGAGUUACUGGGCGUAAAGGGCGCGUAGGCGGUUCGCUAAGUUGGAUGUGAAAACUCUGGGCUCAACCCAGAGCCUGCAUCCAAAACUGGCGGGCUAGAGUUCUGGAGGGGGUAGCGGAAUUCCUGGUGUAGCGGUGAAAUGCGUAGAUAUCAGGAGGAACACCGGUGGCGAAGGCGGCUACCUGGACAGAAACUGACGCUGAGGCGCGAAAGCUAGGGGAGCAAACAGG
rnacentral:rRNA from 1 species